GACGAACGCUGGCGGCGUGCUUAACACAUGCAGGUCGAACGGAAAGGCCCUGCUUUUGUGGGGUGCUCGAGUGGCGAACGGGUGAGUAACACGUGAGUAACCUGCCCUUGACUUUGGGAUAACUUCAGGAAACUGGGGCUAAUACCGGAUAGGAGCUCCUGCUGCAUGGUGGGGGUUGGAAAGUUUCGGCGGUUGGGGAUGGACUCGCGGCUUAUCAGCUUGUUGGUGGGGUAGUGGCUUACCAAGGCUUUGACGGGUAGCCGGCCUGAGAGGGUGACCGGCCACAUUGGGACUGAGAUACGGACCAGACUGCUACAGGAGGCAGCAGUGGGGAAUAUUGCACAAUGGGAGGAAGCCUGAUGCAGAAACGCCGCGUGCGGGAUGACGGCCUUCGGGUUGUAAACCGCUUUCGCCUGUGACGAAGCGUGAGUGACGGUAAUGGGUAAAGAAGCACCGGCUAACUACGUG
rnacentral:rRNA from 1 species